rnacentral:rRNA from 1 species
CUCAGAUUGAACGCUGGCGGCAGGCCUAACACAUGCAAGUCGAGCGGUAGAGAGAAGCUUGCUUCUCUUGAGAGCGGCGGACGGGUGAGUAAUACCUAGGAAUCUGCCUGAUAGUGGGGGAUAACGUUCGGAAACGGACGCUAAUACCGCAUACGUCCUACGGGAGAAAGCAGGGGACCUUCGGGCCUUGCGCUAUCAGAUGAGCCUAGGUCGGAUUAGCUAGUUGGUGAGGUAAUGGCUCACCAAGGCUACGAUCCGUAACUGGUCUGAGAGGAUGAUCAGUCACACUGGAACUGAGACACGGUCCAGACUCCUACGGGAGGCAGCAGUGGGGAAUAUUGGACAAUGGGCGAAAGCCUGAUCCAGCCAUGCCGCGUGUGUGAAGAAGGUCUUCGGAUUGUAAAGCACUUUAAGUUGGGAGGAAGGGCAUUAACCUAAUACGUUGGUGUCUUGACGUUACCGACAGAAUAAGCACCGGCUAACUCUGUGCCAGC